GCUCCGGUGGUUUAGUGGUUAGAGCCUCCGCUUCGGAUGCGAGAAAUUGUGGCUUCGAUCCCCGGUCGAGUCA